rnacentral:rRNA from 1 species
AGUAACGCCUAGGAAUCUGCCUGGUAGUGGGGGACAACGUUUCGAAAGGAACGCUAAUACCGCAUACGUCCUACGGGAGAAGCAGGGACCUUCGGGCCUUGCGCUAUCAGAUGAGCCUAGGUCGGAUUAGCUAGUUGGUGAGGUAAUGGCUCACCAAGGCGACGAUCCGUAACUGGUCUGAGAGGGUGAUCAGUCACACUGGAACUGGGACACGGUCCAGACUCCUACGGGAGGCAGCAGUA